UCUCUCUCUCUCUCUCUCUCUCCCUCUCUCUCUCUUAAACUCUCUUCAAACCCUCAUGCUUCAACACCAAAAAUCAAAGGUCAAGGCUCGUGAAUCUCACAAAAAGGUAAGAAGAAAACGUGAUUUACGGACAGAGGGCUACACAGCGAUUCAAACGAAAUCUCAAUCGGCCAACUUUGGUGUUCCUAGCAUUUCGGGAUUUCAACAUUUUGGAGGUUUCUCUCUCUUUUGAGGUUUCGAGAUGGAUCCGAAGGCUUAAUAAUCAUGGAUAUGUUCUAGUUCUUUUUUUUUAGAACUUAAUUGGAUACUUGUACAUAUUUGUUUGUAAAGAGGCAUGAGGCAUGUAAACUUUAAUUUUAUUUUGGGAAUGUAAAAUUGUAGAUUGAGAGAAUGGGGCCUGGAAGUGCGUAA